rnacentral:lncRNA from 1 species
AAGUGGUCGAAGAGAAGACAAGCAGUUCAGAUGACCAUGGUAAGCGAGCUGUUUAUGCUGUAGUAUUUUAGAGUUCUUGUUAAUCUCGAGUGCAACAAGAAAUCCUUCUUUCUUUCGCCCUUAGCAAACUGUGGCACAGUAUAAUGGAGCUGAGAUAUGAGAUUAGAAAUCAGAGGUAGACGUAGAAACCAAACAAAUACGAUCACAGUAAACUAGUUGUAACAUGCCAACCCUUCUUUUGGCUGCACCUCCGAAGAGAGAGAGAGAGAGUUGCAUAUGAAUGCCCCACUGGUGGCGUGACCAUUUCGGCCUCUGCUGGAAUGUGACUGCAUCCCAAUCCAUUCAUCGGUUUAUCUUCUUAUUGAAGCUUCGGUUCAACCAAAAUGAAGAGGACACAUUACUGAUAGGGUCAACUCAUGAACAGCUGAGUAAGAUGCUCGAGCAAUGGGAGGAGAUUACGACGGCAGAGCAGCAGUCGUAAUUACUGCGUAUGGAGUCAAAUUACCUAUAAAAUAGUAAUUUAUCAAAAAAAUAAAAAUUAAUAUAUUUUUAAAUCUGUUCAUAAGAGAUUUUGAUUUCCGUUUCAGAAAUAAUGAUCAAUCAAAUCAAUAUUUCAAUAAGAAAUAUAUUGUGUAGUGAGGAAGAGAAGAGAGCUAUGUGUGAGUAGCAAUCAACAUCUUAUCUUAUACUCUUCAUAGCACACUAAAUCGCUGCAAUUACUUGUUCUCUCUGUCUUACUUGCAGAUGAUAAAAUGAUGGACAUGCCAAAUGCUUUAGAAUCACAACCGGAAGAGAAGAAAUCAGUAUCAUGUCAGUCCUUUCUUUCUCUUUUCUUCGGCCUUCAAUUUUGAUGUCUUACCUCCAAUCGCACGCAGACGCAGCAGAAAUGGUGCAACCUCUUCCUCCUCCUCCUCCUCCUCCUCCGCCGCCCCUUCAGCAAAAUCACAAUGAGACAGAAAUAGGUAAUUGAUUUCUUGGUCAAUCUACAGAGCAAUUUCCGAGAAAUCAUUGUUUUCGAUUGCUGCAGAGAGUGCUGCAGUGAUACGAAUAC